AACCUUUACACUGCACGACAGUGCGAUAGGGGGACUCCGAGUGCGAGGGCAUAGAGCCCUCGCUUUUGUACACCGUAAGGUGGUGUACGAAUAAGAACUGGGUAAGACCGGUGCCAGCCGCCGCGGUAAUACCGGCAGUUCGAGUGAUGGCCGAUUUUAUUGGGCCUAAAGCGUUCGUAGCUGGCCGAUCAAGUCUGUCGGGAAAUCUGCUCGCCUAACGAGCAGGCGUCCGGCGGAAACUGAUCGGCUUGGGACCGGAAGACUCGAGGGGUACGUCCGGGGUAGGAGUGAAAUCCUGUAAUCCUGGACGGACCACCGAUGGCGAAAGCACCUCGAGAGCACGGAUCCGACAGUGAGGAACGAAAGCUGGGGUCUCGAACCGGAUUAGAUACCCGGGUAGUCCCAGCUGUCAACGAUGCCCGCUAGGUAUGGCGCAGGCUACGAGCCUGUGCUAUGCCGUAGCGAAGGCGCUAAGCGGGCCGCCUGGGAAGUACGUUCAGCAAGAAUGAAACUUAA
rnacentral:rRNA from 1 species